GUUAGGAAUAUUGGACAAUGGGCGCAAGCCUGAUCCAGCCAUGCCGCGUGAGUGAUGAAGGCCUUCGGGUUGUAAAGCUCUUUAGUCCACGAAUAUAAUGACUGUAGUGGAAGAAUAAGCCCCGGCUAACUUCGUGCCAGCAGCCGCGGUAAUACGAAGGGGGCGAGCGUUAUUCGGAAUCACUGGGCGUAAAGCGUGCGUAGGCUGUUUUGUAAGUCAGAAGUGAAAGCCCAAGGCUUAACCCUGGAAUUGCUUUUGAAACUACAAGACUCGAAUUCGGGAGAGGAUAGCGGAAUUGUCAGUGUAGCAGUGAAAUGCGUAGAUAUUGACAGGAACACCAGUGGCGCAAGCGGCUAUCUGGACCGAUAUUGACGCUGAGGCACGAAAGCGUGGGGAGCAAACAGGAUUAGAAACCCUUGUAGUCC
rnacentral:rRNA from 1 species